ensembl:lncRNA
CCCAGGUCAGCGAUCUGACAAAAAUGAAACAAGGUCAUUAACGAUUAAAUUAGACAUUUUUAAAUGGACCUACAUGAAUGUUUAUGUUCAUUGAGGAGCAUAUGGUAAACAUGAAUACGGUCUAAUUACUUCUGUGAUUUGGUUACUUCUAACACUUACCUCUAGGGGGAGGUUGCUCGGUGGCGGUUUUCCUCCCCUUUCCUCUGGGCUUGCUGGUGUUCAGGAUCACGGCAGAGCCAGAGGUGACUGUGUAUGAACUGAUGGCAGGAUGUGGUCUUCGCAUCAGGAAGCAGAAAAAAGAUUGUCAACUUGAAAAAUAUCAGUUCUUGAAAUAUCCUCAAAAUUUGUCAAGUUCGAUGGAUUUUUUGAAGCGUUUCAUUUAUUCUGGAGUCUUACAUUAUUUCAGGUACAAUAGAUUAUGCUCUAUGGUUCAAAACAUAUUUUGUAUUUUGCGUUACUCUGUAUGGUGUUUUCCCUGCCAUAGAAUAGUUAUUCCUUCAUAACUGAUUUCUUUAGAGCCAUGGUGAUGGCUCUAAAGUAUGUUAUUCUUACAAUAGCAUACUGGUAAGGGCAAUUUUUCUACUUCUCAAAAAGAUUUUAAUCAGUUGUUAUUUUCAGUUAAAAAUAAGCAUAACUUCUGUAAAGACUAAGAAAAUGGCAUAAAUCACCGGCACAGAGACAAAUUUUCAUAUAAAUGUAAACAUUAAAAUAUGUCAUAGAUUGAAUCUUGUUGUGCUUGUUCAGUCACAUUCUAAGUAACAGUUUUCACUGAAGAAGAGGGAGUCCAUGUUUUCUGGGCCAGCUUUGCUCAAUUUGUGCCUCAAAGUUUGCCUGCGUGGAAAUGCCAGCUCAUUUUCUCACUACAAAGUUUUCAUCAUCCGCUAUUUGGAUGAAAACUAACAGCACACAUCACUUCCUUUGAAAAUACAAAAUGUUGCAUUUGACAAAACAUCCUGUUCUAGUUUCUAUUGCCACUUAACAUGCCAUCUGAAUGUAGGGUUAUAAAACUAUGGUGAAUGUAUUCUCAUGAUUUUGUAGGUUAGAAAUUCACAAAGGUCUUGGCAAUUUCCUGGCUCCAUCUGGUGUUAAAUAGUUUUCUGCCGAUCGCUGGGGGCAGGGCCACAUCAUUCAAGAUGAUUCCACCGAUGACAGGCUUGCUACCUUGGUGCAGAAAGGUAACCCUGAUUGCUAUUUCUCUCCCUCCAUGUAGUUUCUGGGCUGCUUCAUGAGGAUUCUUUAAAAGAGCCGUCAUAUUCUCUACAUGGCAUCUCUAGGCUUGAGACCAAUGUGGGAGCUGCCACUCAAAUGUUGUACCACUCUUCCCACUUUUCUUUAGUAUCAGAGAAGUCACAGGAAAGACCAAAUUCAAGGAGAAGAGAAAUAGAUUACACUUUUUAAUCGGAGAACUGUUAAAUAAAUUAUAUUAGCUUGUUUAAUACAAUGCUGCAUAGAUCAGCAUUACUACUAAUAUUACCAAUGCUAACAAAUAUACUCCAUUGCAUUUUCUCCUAACUUUUAAACCGCUUCUCUAAAUGCAUGCCAACAUUGAGUUAAAAGGCUAUUGAGUUAUUACUAUGUUUACUCAAAGCCAUUUUUUGGAAAUUAUAAUAAUUUCUUCUUGUUAUGAAAAUUUUUAUAUUAUCAGUC